UUGUGUAAUAUAUGUUGGGUAUCAUCACUUCCGAAUAUCUACCCCCGGGCUGGUUGUUAACCUAAAUUAGUACUAAAAAGAGGAUAAAACUAACGUCUAUAAAAUACCUAUCGUCUAAGAGGCAUUGGACUUUGCUAUUUUGAAUUUUAUGGUCUAGACAAAUAAAUCUAGAUUUUCUAGUUGGAGUCAAAGCGCGUAAAAUAAAUAGGACGUCACAUAACACAUAAUUGUCUCAAUUAGGCCUCUUGGUUAAUUUAGAGUUGGUUAAAGUGAUUAUCAUGCUAAGACAAACAAUUACUUUUGUUUAGUUACGCCUAUAGACAUGGUAUCUAGGUGUCACAUGAUCAUUUGUUGGCGAGAGAUAGUUGUUAAGCCCUUCCAAGCAGUGAUGUAAAUUUAUUAAAAUAUUAAAACAUGUCAAAGUAAAUAUGUUGGGGAGUGAUACCCAUUAAUUUAUUGUGCAAAAACAUGUUGUAAAAAAUAUUUAGAGUAUCAUGAAACUAUAUCCUAAUGCUGAAAAUAAUUAACCUCUAAGAAAGCACUUCUAAAAAUUAAUAAAAAACAAUGCUGGAAAUCCAUUUUUUGUAUUCUGAAAAUUUUGUUUUAAUAUGCUGGAAACCAACUUAUGUUGCAAAGUAGUUACUUAAACGUUGAAAAUUGAUUUUACCGAAAACUGUUUAAUUGGAAACUG
rnacentral:lncRNA from 1 species